rnacentral:rRNA from 1 species
UACGAAGGGGGCUAGCGUUGCUCGGAUUUACUGGCGUAAAGGGCGCGUAGGCGGACAGUUAAGUCGGGGGUGAAAGCCCGGGGCUCAACCUCGGAAUUGCCUUCGAUACUGGCUGUCUUGAGUACGGGAGAGGUGUGUGGAACUCCGAGUGUAGAGGUGAAAUUCGUAGAUAUUCGGAAGAACACCAGUGGCGAAGGCGGCUCUCUGGACCGAGACUGACGCUGAGGCGCGAAAGCGUGGGGAGCAAACAGG